rnacentral:rRNA from 1 species
CCUACGGGUGGCAGCAGUGGGGAAUAUUGGACAAUGGGCGAAAGCCUGAUCCAGCCAUGCCGCGUGUGUGAAGAAGGCCUUCGGGUUGUAAAGCACUUUCAGUGGGGAAGAAAGCCUUGGGGCUAAUACCCUCGAGGAAGGACAUCACCCACAGAAGAAGCACCGGCUAACUCCGUGCCAGCAGCCGCGGUAAUACGGAGGGUGCGAGCGUUAAUCGGAAUUACUGGGCGUAAAGCGCGCGUAGGCGGUCUGAUAAGCCGGUUGUGAAAGCCCCGGGCUCAACCUGGGAACGGCAUCCGGAACUGUCAGGCUAGAGUGCAGGAGAGGAAGGUAGAAUUCCGGGUGUAGCGGUGAAAUGCGUAGAGAUCGGGAGGAAUACCAGUGGCGAAGGCGGCCUUCUGGACUGACACUGACGCUGAGGUGCGAAAGCGUGGGUAGCAAACAGGAUUAGAUACCCUAGUAGUC